ACAGAGAGAAAGAGAACCCGAACAGAUUCCUUCUUUUUUUGGGCGAAGAGCUUUUUCGGCUUCUGCUUUACUUUCUUUUUCACAAGAAUAGACCCACAAUUUUUUUCUCCAUGGUUGCUACUUAGCCACCAUCCGUACACCACCUAAAUUCCAUGGAAAUAGUACCCUUUUACACCUGAAACCAAGCCCGAAACCAACUAAGAACCAGUCCAAACAGCCACCAUAUUCUCCUUCCGAAGCCACCUCUAAACCUUCCUUAAAAUCGCCCAAAUAUCGCCAAAAACCAGCUGGAAUUUCCAGUUCAAAAAAUGCAACAACACAGCCUCGAGAACGCUGUAAAAUCAGCUCCAAAAACGUGAAACAACAUAGCUCAAAUUCAGCUGUAAAUCAGUCCAAAAACCAACGCCAAUCAUACCUUUAACCACCACAAAGAGAGUCGAGUUUGAGUUUGCCGUCACUGUUUUCCGAUCGUGGUCGUGGGUGUUAGGUCCGUUUGUUGAGUUGCAAAAACUUUAAAGUUGGGACGUAAUCAAUAAAGGUCCAAUUCUUACUUGAUAUUCCUCUAAGUUUCAAGUUCGAUUUUGAUAAUAUGAUUCUGACGAUGCUUCCGAUGAGUGAUAUUUAGUUUAAUUGAUAUUUGAUUAUUGUAAUUCAAUGUUUUGCCUUGAUGAAUAUUCUGAAAUCUUGUGGUUUAAUUUAAUUUAAUUUGAUUUGGAUGCCACCUAGUUAAAGUGCUCGUAGACUUACUGGUUAAUCUAUAUAUCUUGCUUUGUUUAGCAUAAUUGAUCCUUCAUUGGUUGAUUGUUGGAAGAGAAGGAUGGAAACUUUUGGUGAAAAUAUAGUAAUUUUAAGUCUUUUGUUAAUUUGUUUAAAGAUUCAUGCAUUAUUUUACUAAUGAAUUUGUAGUUUUUAAAUUGUAGCUACUGACUUGUGUGAAGGAAAAUCGUUUUUAGCUAUUAGGAAUAUUUUAAGCACAUAAAUUAUUAGUUGGGCCGUUGGAUGCCAAUUAUAAGUAUAAAAAUCAGAUUUUUCUUUUUACCUUAAGAAUGUCUGCUUGGUUUUAAAAGCAUAUGGGCCAGACAAGCUUAAUCUGCUAAGCCCAACGAUUUUAGCCUAGUUCCAAAGAUAGAUUAGUAGGUUGUAAACAUCUCUUAGUGUGAAUAACUUAUCAAUAUUGAAUAGCUAAAAUAUUUCUUGACUUCCAAAUAAUUUCCUCUCCAUGAGUCAUGAUAUCACAUUAAUCUCAAACAAGCUCUAGGAAAAUUAAUCGACUUGUGAAUAUUCCUAGAAUGCUUUAGGCAUGUAUUUAAUUUACUAUCGUGAUUAUGUAUACGUUCGCGUAACAUGAUUAUUGAUCCUAAAAAUAAAUCAAGGUAUGCAUUCGCGCGACUUUGACCGAAUAAUCUUAACAAUUAAUAAAGCGUGAUGAAUUGUGUGUACGCGUGACAUAAUUUUAGCGCACUGAACAAAAUAGAUUUACGCACAUGUAAUCGGUUUCAAAGAUAAAUCCAUAAUGCCAUAAUUAAAAGCGGUAAAAGGCAAAAUGUACAUAAGUUCUAAAAAUGAGUAAUUAAAUAAUUAAUUAAGCCAGGUAUGAUUAAAAGCAACCGUGUUAAAACCACGGAAUCCGGGAGUGCCUCAUACCUUCUCCCAGGUUAACAGAAUUUCUUACUUUGUCUUUUGGUUUCGCGGACUUAAAACAUAGUCAAUUUUCUCGAUUUGGAAUUUUAAAAUAAACCGGUGACUUGGGACACCAUAAUAAUUAUCCCAAGUGGCGACUCUAAUUAAAUAAAUAAUCUCAUUUGGACUAAUGUCACUUAAAUUGGAAAAACUCCCCUAUUCCUCGGAAAAAAGGAGGUGUGACAGUAUAUACUUGAUAGAUGAUAUAGAAGGUAUGAUGACUAGUGCUGCUAAUAUUUAAGACCUUGAAAUCAACUAAAUUUUAAUUAAUAAUUGCUUCCUUAUUUGAGAUCACAACGUCCAACAAAAUACUUGUUGAUUCGUUUGGAUACUAAGGUAUUAAAAGUGAUUUGAACCACUUUCUUAUUUGUCCUUAUUGAAAUUAAUAAUUAAGUUUUUAUAAACAGUUAUAAUGCAAAAUUCUACCNNNNNNNNNNNNNNNNNNNNNNNNNAACUCGACCAAAAUUAUCGAAGUCAUUAAGUAGAGUUUCUUUAUAUAUAUAUAUAUAUAAUUUUUUGUAAGGAGUAUGAGUUCUAACUUUUCAAUAAUUGCUAAUGGAAGUUCACCUUCAGCUGUUGCCUUUUGCUUUCUCAUAACUAAUAUUUGUUUAUAUGAAUCUAUUUUGUCAUCUAUCAUAAUAUAUUGUUAAACUCUGUUUAUUUUCAACCUUUGUAUAUGUUUAAAUUCCUUCGCCUGUUAAGUAUCGUGCUUCUAGAUGUUUAUUGGGAUUUCUUAAAUAAAAUUUUAUAUUGGAUAAAAUUAUAAUUUAAGUUAAUUUUUUUAAUAUUUAAUACUUUAAAAUCAACUACUACGAUUUACUUAUUAAAUUAUUCCUUAUUUGAACUAAGUAAGAAGUCCUAAACAUAACCUUUUCAAUUAAUAAAAGAAUGUUACUAUAUUAAUAUAUAUAUUACGUUUUCUCCAUACACACGUUAGGUUUUGUCUAUUUCUUUUUUUUUUUCCAUUAGUUUUAAUUAAUUAUCUUAUACUAAAUUAGAUUAGAAUAAAUUUAUUAGUGGUGAAUAUCUAAACAAUUAUAAGAAGCAAAUAUUAGAUAUAUGAUAAUUUCCAUUAAUAUUAGGAUAUGAAAAUUAAUUUUUAAAUACUGAAUAUGCUAAUAUCUUAAUUCUAUAUUAUUUAAUAAUCUUAGUGAAAAAUAUUUAUAAAGAAAAACUAAGUAGAAAGCUAUAAUGAAAGUCGUACUUCUCCUGUUCUCUUUCUUAAUUAAAAAUUUAUAAUCGGUAAUAGAAUUAAAACCAAUUAAUUUUAUAAAAUUUAAUUAUCUUAGGAAAAAGAAAAAAGAAAAUAAAGAAAAACUUUUUAUGGAAAAGUAUAUUGAUCCUUAGGUUACAUAAUAGUAUGUAUAUUGCCUUUUAAUCAAAUCUAUAAAUUUUAUGUACUAUAAUUUAAAUACACAUUCUAAUAAAUUUUAUGAUUAGAUAUAAAUUAUUUUACGGAAAAGGCUCAAAAAUGCCCUUAACCUAUCAGAAAUGGCUCAAGAACGCCCCUCAUUCACCUUUUGGCUCACAAACGCCACUAACAUUUUCUUUGGUAUCAAAAUUGCGCCCUUGAACUAAUGUUUGACUUAUAGGAUGUGUGGGGCUUUUUUAAAAAAAAUUCACGUAGCACUGUCCAAUUGGUUAACAUUGAGGAAUAAAAUUAAUAGACCCAACACAUAAACUCGACCCACAUAUUCUGAUAACCAUAUUUUCCUCCUAAUAGUUCUUGAAAAGUGCCAGUAAGAGUUCUUCCUAUGAAAAUCAGUAACAGUUGCUAUUAGGCAAUUAGCAUAAAAUUUUAUGGGUAGAAGCGAGGGACAACAACUUAAGGUUAAAAGAUAUUUGCUUUAUGAUGGCCAUUCUGAAUCAUCCCAUCUUUGGUGUUGGAGCAGCUCAAUUUCUUAUAUAGAUCAAGCAACGCCUUCUACUUCGCUGACAUUGAAUGCACAAGUAAAGCAUCUCAGAUUAUCAUACUAGCUAAUUAAUUAAAGAAGCAUAAAAAAAGAAGAAACAUACUGCACUUGUUUUACAGAGCUUAUGCUUCAAAUUCUAUUCUGGAUAAUAGACUUUCUUUUGUAAGAGAUGAUAAUUAACGAGGUCGAUCUAUUUUUUUCCGCUUUUUGAGAAAGAUCACUUAAAACUUUUUUCAUUAUCAUAUAAGGUUCACUUGGAUAUGAUUCUUGCUAAUUUGGUUUAAUUCAUAUCAGCCAUAGUGAUGUCUUUCUAAUGAAGAAGAAAGGAAGAUGAAGAUGAAGAAAGGAUAUUGGAUUUAUGGGUAUCAGAAUAUGUGGGUCGGAUUUGUGGGUUGGGUCUAAUUAAUUUUAUUCCUCAAUGUUAAUGAAUUGGACAGUGCCACCUGAAUUUUAAAAAAGCCCCACACAUCCAAUAAGCCAAACGUUAGUUCAAGAAGUAAUUUUGAUACUAAAGAAACGUUAGUGGCAUUUUUGGACCAAAACGUUGAUGAGGGGCAAUUUUGAGUCAUUUCUGAGAGGUUAAGGGCAUUGUUGAGACUUUUUCAAUUAUUUUAAUGUAACAAUCUGGCUAGUCGUUUUGAGAGUUGUAACCCCAUUCCCCAAUUUACUGCUCAUUUUAUACUUUAUAAUUGCUAUGUGAAUUUUCGGGGUAGUUGGUUCGGGUCCGGAGAGAUUUCAGAAUUAAUUGAGACACUUAGUCUCAAGGUUGAACGCUUAAGUUAAAAUACUUGACUGGAUAUUGACUUGUGUGCAAACAACUCCGAAAUAGAGUUUUUAUGGUUCCGUUAGCUCCGUUAGGUAAUUUUGGACUUAGAAGUGUGUCCGGAUUAUGAUUUGGAGGUCCGUAGUUGAAUUAGGCUUGAAAUGGCGAAAGUUGGAAAUUUGGAAGUUUGACCGAGAGUGGAUCUUGUGGUUACCGAGCUCGGAUUGGGGUUCCGGGAGUUGGAAUAGGUCCAUGGUAUCAUUUGUGACUUGUGUGCAAAAUUUGAGGUCAAUCAGACAUAAUUUGAUAGGUUUCGACAUCGUUUGUAGAAGUUGGGAUUCCUUACUUUCAAUAGGCUUGAAUUUGGGUGUGAUUUGUGAUUUUAGCUUUGUUUGAUGUGAUUUGAAGGCUCGAUUAAGUUCAUAGGAUGUUUUAGGACUUGUUGGUAUAUUUGGUUGAGGUCCCGGGGGCCUCGGGUGGAGUUCGGGUGAUUUUCGGCUCAAGUUUGGAGUUAAUAGAGGUGUUGUAGCUGAAGCUCUAUGGUGUAAUUGCACCUGCGGAGCUUUGGUUGCAGGUGCGAGCUCGCAUGUGUGGGCUGGGAAGCGCAAAAACGACCUAGGAUGGAGGUGUGCAGUGGUCGCAGGUGCGAGGCAAUUUCCGCACCUGCGUGAUCGCAAAUGCGACAUCAUGAGCGCAUAAGUGGAGUUGGCCAGUGGGGGAGGUUGCGCAAGUACGAUGGAAAUUCCGCAUUUGCGAUUGCACAGGUGCGGAGGCAGGACCACAUAAGCGAAGGGAGCCUUAGGGCAUGUCCGCAGAAGCGGAACCGCAGGUGCGGUUAAGUGACUCGCAAAAGCGAAAAGGCUGAGCAAUGUAUUAAAAAUGAGGGUUCCGAGAUUUUCUUCAUUUUUGAACAUUCCAAGCUCGGGAUUAGGCUAUUUUUGAGAGAAUUUUCGAGGGGUUUCUUGUGAGUCACUUAUGAUUAAAUUUACUCAAUAUUUAUAUUUCCCCAUCGAUUUUUCCACCUAAAUUAUGUGGUUUUGAGGUGUAAUUUUAGGAGUUGAAGGUAGAGAUUUGGAGAGUUUAAAUUAGGGAUUUGGGUGUCGAUUUGGUGUUGGAGUUUGGUAAAUUUGGUAUGGUUGGACUCGUGGUUGAAUGGGCUUUCGGAUUUUGUGACUUUUAUUAGAUUCCAAGACAUGGUCCCGGGGGCUGACUUUUGAGUUGAUUUUUGACUUUUGAUUAAGAACUUAGUAUUUUCUUAUGGAAUUGAUUCCUUUAGCUCGUGUUGAUUGUAUCGAACUAUUUGUGAUUAGAUUCGAGGCAUUUGGAGGCCGUUUCGCGAGGCAAGGGCUUGUCGGAGUAGGGAUUUGC
rnacentral:lncRNA from 1 species